GGUUACACUGUCUCCUUUUUCAAUCAGUGAAACUAAUCUCCCCGUGAAGAAGCGAGGAUAUUUUUAUAAGACGAGAAGACCCCAUGGAGCUUUAAACCCAACCACACCCCUAACUCUUAUAGCCCCUCAACCUUUCCUGGGCCCUGUACGGUUGGUUUUAGGUUGGGGCGACCACGGAGUACAACAAAACCUCCACAAUGAACGGGACUACCCCCCUUAUCUAAGAGCCACACCCCUAAGAAUUAGAAUACUAACAUAAAAUGAUCCAUUAUUUGAUCAAUGAACCAAGUUACCCUGGGGAUAACAGCGCAAUCCAUUCCAAGAGCCCCUAUCGACAAAUGGG
rnacentral:rRNA from 1 species